GACGAACGCUGGCGGCGUGCCUAAUACAUGCAAGUCGAACGCUUCUUUCCUCCCGAGUGCUUGCACUCAAUUGGAAAGAGGAGUGGCGGACGGGUGAGUAACACGUGGGUAACCUACCCAUCAGAGGGGGAUAACACUUGGAAACAGGUGCUAAUACCGCAUAACAGUUUAUGCCGCAUGGCAUAAGAGUGAAAGGCGCUUUCGGGUGUCGCUGAUGGAUGGACCCGCGGUGCAUUAGCUAGUUGGUGAGGUAACGGCUCACCAAGGCCACGAUGCAUAGCCGACCUGAGAGAGUGAUCGGCCACACUGGGACUGAGACACGGCCCAGACUCCUACGGGAGGCGGCAGUAGGGAAUCUUCGGCAAUGGACGAAAGUCUGACCGAGCAACGCCGCGUGAGUGAAGAAGGUUUUCGGAUCGUAAAACUCUGUUGUUAGAGAAGAACAAGGACGUUAGUAACUGAACGUCCCCUGACGGUAUCUAACCAGAAAGCCACGGCUAACUACGUG
rnacentral:rRNA from 1 species